GUCAAGGAUUUACACAACCCUACAAGAGCCACUUCGGAGAAAGUAACAGCUCUCAAUUCAUCAGUUGAGGAUCCAUCUCCUUCCUCCUUAUCACCAACAACUAUCUUGCCAAG